UACAAUGCAAAUGGUAAUCUCACAGAGAGCACUAGAGUUUUUUUCUUUAUUUAUGGCUAUCCUUUAUAGUAGUAAUGCUAAUUUGAGUCGAUAUAUCGGUGUUCCAUACCAUCCUAAAAAUGCGUCUCUGGUGACAGUCAUAGUUCUUAAUUUUCAUUGGAUUUCUAUGUGGUUUCUGAAUAUUUGAUGUUCUGAAUAUUAAGGAAUUACUUAAUUUCUAAAAUAUGUUCAUAUCCUAUUAUCAUCAUUGAGGGAAUCAAUUGGCAUAAUUUUAGUGUGUACGUAUAGUUGAUUAAUAUUCAAAAUGUCAUGCUAUGUAACCAUGGGGUUUAGUUUUGCAUCAUGCUUGCCUCUGUAGUUUUGCUUGCUUAUUUGACUCGCUGUUUUGAUUCAGCAGCAUUGAUUUUCAGAUAAUAUAGGAGAGUGGAAGGUUCAUGCUCAUUUUUCUUUUUUGUAUUUUUUCUUGUUCAUACUUAUACUAUUUUUUCUUGCAAAUCUGUACUAUUGAAAUAGAAAAAUCAUCUUGUGUUGUUCAGACCCAUAUACUUAUCCUACAAUAUGUGAAUGAAUGCUUAUAUUGGCAUCCUGCUGUAGAAAAUGGUUAGCUUAGCAGCAACUAUUGUGUCUUCUAAUUAUGUCGCCUCAAAUUUGUAGGAACGCUACUGUUGCUUUCGAAAUGCUAUUGGAUCUUAUAAAGAUUUUUGGACCUGUUAUUCAUUCAACAUUGUCAGCUAGCUCACUCUUUGGAGUAGAACUUCAAGCCGAACAGAGGUAUGCUCUCCAACUUUACUCGGGGAAGGGAACUGGGUGUUGCUAAGAGAACUGUUUUAAAAACUUGUGUUGCU
rnacentral:lncRNA from 1 species